UCACGUUGAUCCUGCGUGAGAUUUCCGCUAAAAGGGUUGGAUUAAGCCAUGAAAGUGCGUUAACCUUGUGUUGACCGCAGAAUGCUGAGUAACACGUCAUUAAUCUGCCUUGCAAUUUUUAAUAAUCUUGGGAAACUGAGUGUAAAAGUUAUAGUUGUCUUAUACUGGAAUGUUUAGACAAUGAAUGCAAGAUGAGAUGGCGGCCGAUUAGGUAGUUGGUGAGGUAAUGGCUCACCAAGCCAAAGAUCGGUAGGGGUUGUGAGAGCAAUGACCUCCAGAAGGACACUGAGAUAAGGGUCCUAGCCCUAAGGGGUGCAGCAGGCGCGAAAACUCUACAAUGCACGCAAGUGUGAUAGGGCAACCCUUUAUGCUCAUCUAAGAUGGGCUUUUGUAUUGUGUAAUGAGCUUUACGAAUAAGUGGUGGGCAAGACCGGUGCCAGCAGCCGCGGUAAUACCGGCGCCACAAGUGGAGAUCACGAUUACUGGGUCUAAAGUGUUCGUAGCUGGUUUAGUAAGUCUCUUGUGAAAUUUCAGUAGCUUAACUCUGAAACUGCAAGAGAUACUGCAAAACUUGAGACUGGGAGGGGUAUGGAGUAUUAUUUGGGUAGCGGUAAAAUGUUAUAAUCCUUAUAAGACUAACUAAGACGAAGGUACCAUACUGGAACAGAUCUGACAGUGAGGAACGAGAGCUAGGGGAGCGAACCGGAUUAGAUACCCGGGUAGUCCUAGCCGUAAACUCUGCGGGUUAUGCUCUGCUAAAAAUUUGAGUUUUAGCAGGGGAGUAGCGAAGGCAUUAAACCCGCCACCUGGGAAGUACAGCCGCAAGGCCGAAACUUAAAGGAAUUGCCGGGGGAGUACUACAAGGGGUGCGGCGUGCGGUUUAAUUGAAUUACACACCGAGCAUCUUACCAGGGGCGGCAGCACUAUGAAGGUCAGUCUAAAGGGCUUACCUAAGACGCUGAGAGGUGCUGCAUGGCCGCCGUCAGCUCGUGCUGUAAGGUGUCCUCUUAAGUGAGAAAACGAGCAAGACCUAUAUCUACAAUUACUAUCUAGGUUGGCUAGAGUACGUUGUAGGGACUGCCUUGGAAACGAGGAGGAAGGUGUAGGCUACGGUAGGUCUGUAUAGCCCGAAUCUCCUGGGCUACACGCGCGCAACAAUGGUUCAGACAAAGAGUUGCCACUCUGAAAAGAGGAGCUAAUCUCCAAACUGAAUCCAAGUUUAGAUUGAGGUUUAUAACUCAACCUCAUGACAUCGGAAUCCCUAGUAACCGGGUGUUAUCAGCGCCCGGUGAAUAUGUCCAUUCUCCUUGGACACACUGCCCGUCAAACCAACCAAGUAAGGUUAAGGU
rnacentral:rRNA from 1 species